GCAAGUCGAGCGCACUCUUCGGAGGGGACAGCGGCGAAAGGGUGAGUAAUAAAUAGUCAACCUACCCUCCAGAUCGGGAUAACGUCGGGAAACUGACGCUAAGACCGGAUUGUCAGGGCGGACCGCAUGGUCUGCUCUGUAAAAAUUGCCUCUCAGUGAAGCUGUUGCUGGAGGAGGGGACUAUUUCCUAUUAGCUUGUUGGUGGGGUAAUGGCCUACCAAGGCUGUGAUGGGUAGCCGACCUUAGCGGGUGACC
rnacentral:rRNA from 1 species